rnacentral:rRNA from 1 species
GACGAACGCUGGCGGCGUGCUUAACACAUGCAAGUCGAACGGAAAGGCCCUGCUUUUGUGGGGUGCUCGAGUGGCGAACGGGUGAGUAACACGUGAGUAACCUGCCCUUGACUUUGGGAUAACUUCAGGAAACUGGGGCUAAUACCGGAUAGGAGCUCCUGCUGCAUGGUGGGGGUUGGAAAGUUUCGGCGGUUGGGGAUGGACUCGCGGCUUAUCAGCUUGUUGGUGGGGUAGUGGCUUACCAAGGCUUUGACGGGUAGCCGGCCUGAGAGGGUGACCGGCCACAUUGGGACUGAGAUACGGCCCAGACUCCUACGGGAGGAAGCAGUGGGAAUAUUGCACAAUGGGCGGAAGCCUGAUGCAGCAACGCCGCGUGCGGGAUGACGGCCUUCGGGUUGUAAACCGCUUUCGCCUGCGACGAAGCGUGAGUGACGGUAAUGGGUAAAGAAGCACCGGCUAACUACGUG